AUGCCUGACUUGUUACAAGGUUGUUCUAACAAGUCUGAUGCAGUCAUGAUAUAACAAGAAUGUUACAAGGUUGACGACACAGGAUUGUAACAAUAUUAUUAUACCAUGACUGCAUCGGACUUGUCGGAAUAACCUUGCAACAAGUCUGAUAA